UACGGAGGGUGCGAGCGUUAAUCGGAAUUACUGGGCGUAAAGGGUGCGUAGGUGGUUUGAUAAGUUAUCUGUGAAAUUCCUGGGCUUAACCUGGGGUGGUCAGAUGAGACUGUUGGACUCGAGUAUGGGAGAGGGUAGUGGAAUUUCCGGUGUAGCGGUGAAAUGCGUAGAGAUCGGAAGGAACACCAGUGGCGAAGGCGGCUACCUGGCCUAAUACUGACACUGAGGCACGAAAGCGUGGGGAGCAAACAGG
rnacentral:rRNA from 1 species